UCUCCAUCGCCUACGAGAUUCGCCUAAAGCUGGCGAAAAUUGACCCCCUUAACCUAUUAGUUACCGUUCAAUUCUCUGAGUUUCAGAACCACUUGUUACACAAAGCUUCAGUUCUCCGCAAUCGGAAUUCAAGGAGGCAAGCUGCUUGAUUUUGUUUUGAAUCCGAGGCAAUCCGGUUAGCGUUCGAUGAGAUCUCCGGCGAGAUUUUCCGG
rnacentral:lncRNA from 1 species